rnacentral:rRNA from 1 species
CAGCCGCCACGGUAAAACGUAGGGUGCGAGCGUUAAUCGGAUUUACUGGGCGUAAAGCGUGCGCAGGCGGCCCGUUAAGACAGGUGUGAAAUCCCUGGGCUCAACCUAGGAACUGCGCUUGUGACUGGCGGGCUCGAGUACGGUAGAGGGGGGUGGAAUUCCUGGUGUAGCAGUGAAAUGCGUAGAGAUCAGGGGGAACACCGAUGGCGAAGGCAGCCCCCUGGGCCUGUACUGACGCUCAUGCACGAAAGCGUGGGGAGCAAACAGGAUUAGAUACCCCAGUAGUCCCUGUCUCUUAUAC